AUAGACAUAAAUUUGAAGUUUGCCCUACCUAUCAAAGCAAACUUGAAUUUUUCCAGCCUCUCCUCAUAUGCCUCCUGCGGGAUGAUAAUCUUAGUGUGCGCCCCAGCAUGUAUUGGAUCCGGCAACUGCUCCACGUCCGGUUUCCAGAAAUCAGUAAGGCGAAGUUGCCUGCCCCUAUCCGGCGGUCUUCCUCCCCCUGGGUCAUGAUCCAUAUCUCUACCAUCAUCUACCACUUUCAAAAACGCCAUUGUCCUAUAGAUCACUUGUAUCCUUCGGACGCUUUCAGAAAUUCAGAUCUACUCGGAUCUGCUUUCCUCUUCUUCCUGCAAAUGGAUGAUGCGCAAAAACCGAACCAAGGGAGGAAGCGUGCUGGGCGUGUGUGAGAAUCAAGAGUACCAAAGUCUGCUCAAGAUCCGAAACUCAAGAUCUGAAACUCAAGAUCUGAAGUCGUCCUGAGAUCCGAAACUCUCGGAUCUGCUUGGAUCUGCUGCUUCUCCGACGAGGCGACGACCUGCUAUUGCAGCUAUCGAUGCUACUGCAUCUUUCGACGAGGGAAGAAGAAGAAGAGGAAGAAGAAGACUGCCUCUCUCUCUCUCUCUCUCUCGCUUCGUUUCGGUUCUAAAGCCUCAGUAGAAGACAACUGCUACUGCUACUGUCGACGACUCGACGGCAGAGUUCCGACGACUCGACGGCAGAGUUCUCUCUCUCUCUCUCCUCUCUCAAGGAUCAGAUUGUGCCGACGACUCGACGGCAGGGUUCUCUCUCUCUUCUUCCAAAAUCGUCCUGAGAUCCGAAACCGGAUCUGCUCGGAUCUGCGACUUCACUCGAUGCCCCAGUUCCGACGAGGCGACGACCUGCUAUUGCAGCUAUCGACGCCUGAGUUUCCCGAUCGGCUAUUGUCGGUGCCCGAGAUCGGCUGUUGUCGGUGCUCUCUGCUCUCCACCCCUCAGUUGGUCUCUUUCAAGUAAAAGAUUUAGAGUUGAAACAUAUUGAGGAAAUAAUCCAACAUAUUGACAAUCUAGAGUAAUUAAAGCAAAAGAGAAGAAAGUUUAUUGAAAGUCAUAAAGUCUAUAUACUUAGUGUAGGAGGAAGAGUCACCAUAUUAGGUUUGUGCCUUAUUUUCUUUGUGCAGCGAUCAGAAAAUCUGAUGCCCGUAAGAAAAAUUGAAGAACAAACUCGUUAUUACUCUUUUUUUUUUUUAUCAAAAAAAUUACUCGUUAUUGAGUUGAUCUAG